GCAUCUGAUAGCAAUAGCAUUAGCACUGGUCUCUCCUCUGGGCCCCUGCCAAGGUACAGCAUCUGAUAGCAAUAGCAUUAGCACUGGUCUCUCCUCUGGGCCCCCAGGUACAGCAUCUGAUAGCAAUAGCAUUAGCACUGGUCUCUCCUCUGGGCCCCUGCCAAGGUACAGCAUCUGAUAGCAAUAGCAUUAGCAUUGGUCUCUCCUCUGGGCCCCCAGGUACAGCAUCUGAUAGCAAUAGCAUUAGCACUGGUCUCUCCUAUGGGCCCACAGGUACAGCAUCUGAUAGCAAUAGCAUUAGCACUGGUCUCUCCUCUGGGCCCCCGGUAUAGCAUCUGAUAGCAAUAGCAUUAGCACUGGUCUCUCCUCUGGGCCCACAGGUACAGCAUCUGAUAGCAAUAGCAUUAGCAUUGGUCUCUCCUCUGGGCCCCCAGGUACAGCAUCUGAUAGCAAUUAGCAUUAGCACUGGUCUCUCCUCUGGGCCCACAGGUACAGCAUCUGAUAGCAAUAGCAUUCGCACUGGUCUCUCCUCUGGGCCC